CCCUUAGAUGUUCUGGGCCGCACGCGCGCUACACUGACUACUUCAACGAGUUGUUUCCUUGAUCGAAAGGUCUGGGUAAUCUUUGAAAGGUAGUCGUGAUGGGGAUAGAUCCUUGCAAUUUUUGAUCUUCAACGAGGAAUUCCUAGUAAACGCAAGUCAUCAGCUUGCAUUGAUUACGUCCCUGCCCUUUGUACACACCGCCCGUCGCACCUACCGAUUGAAUGGUCCGGUGAAUCUUUAGGACUGUGGCUGAGGCCUUGCCUUGUGCGGGUCUGACCGUGGGAAUUUAGUUAAACCUUACCAUUUAGAGGAAGGUGAAGUCGUAACA
rnacentral:rRNA from 1 species